rnacentral:rRNA from 1 species
UUAGAGGAAGUAAAAGUCGUAACAAGGUUUCCGUAGGUGAACCUGCGGAAGGAUCAUUAAUGAUUGCGAAUGGUCACCUUCAGUGCUGGCUCGCAAGAGCAAGUGCACGUUGGUGGCUUUCAUCCAAUUCCACACCCUGUGAACCUUUGGCCUCUUGCUAGCUUCGGCUGGCAGAGGAUUUUACAUAUACUCGAAUGUAAUGAAAACUAUUGUUGUGCGCAGGCACUAAUAUACAACUUUCAACAAACGGAUCUCUUGGCUCUCGCAUCGAUGAAAGAACGCAGCGAAAUGCGAUAAGUAAUGUGAAUUGCAGAAUUCAGUGAAUCAUCGAAUCUUUGAACGCACCUUGCACCCUUUGGAAUGCUCCAAAGGGUAUGCUCGUUUGAGUGUCAUUGUACUCUCACACUCUCUGAUCCUUUGGAUUCGGGGAGCGGUGGACUUGGGUGCUUGCUGCUUCCUUGUGGCUCACCUGAAAUGCGUCAGUGCAUCUCUUGAUUGGACAUAGUACGGCGUGAUAAGUGUCUUCGCCGGCACCUCGUAAGAGGGUGGCCGAUUGGGAGCUCUGUGCUUUCCAACUGUCUUCGGACAAUCCCUGACAACUUGACCUCAAAUCGAGUAGGACUACCCGCUGAACUUAAGCAUAUCAAUAAGCGGAGGAA